ACGGGAGGCAGCAGUGGGGAAUAUUGGACAAUGGGGGAAACCCUGAUCCAGCGACGCCGCGUGAGUGAAGAAGUAUUUCGGUAUGUAAAGCUCUAUCAGCAGGGAAGAAAAUGACGGUACCUGACUAAGAAGCCCCGGCUAACUACGUGCCAGCAGCCGCGGUAAUACGUAGGGGGCAAGCGUUAUCCGGAAUUACUGGGUGUAAAGGGUGCGUAGGCGGUAAAGCAAGUUAGAUGUGAAACCUCAGGGCUUAACCCUGAGCAUGCAUCUAAAACUACUGGACUAGAGUAUAGGAGAGGAAAGCGGAAUUCCUGGUGUAGCGGUGAAAUGCGUAGAUAUCAGGAAGAACACCAGUGGCGAAGGCGGCUUGCUGGACGACAACUGACGCUGAGGCGCGAAAGCGUGGGGAGCAAACAGGAUUAGAUACCCUGGUA
rnacentral:rRNA from 1 species